rnacentral:rRNA from 1 species
CUUUUGCUAGUUCUAAAAAUACUAGUGAAUAAGGGGUGGGCAAGUUCUGGUGUCAGCCGCCGCGGUAAAACCAGCACCUCAAGUGGUCAGGAGGAUUAUUGGGCCUAAAGCAUCCGUAGCCGGCUCUUCAAGUUUUCGGUUAAAUCUAUACGCUUAACGUAUAGGCUGCCAAAAAUACUGUAGAGCUAGGGAGUGGGAGAGGUAGACGGUACUCGGUAGGAAGGGGUAAAAUCUUUUGAUCUAUCGACGACCACCUGUGGCGAAGGCGGUCUACCAGAACAUGUUCGACGGUGAGGGAUGAAAGCUGGGGGAGCAAACCGGAUUAGAUACCCGGGUAGUCCCAGCUGUAAACGAUGCAGACUCGAUGAUGUAUUAGCAUAUAGCUGAUACAGUGUCGCAGGGAAGCCGUUAAGUCUGCCGCCUGGGAAGUACGUACGCAAGUAUGAAACUUAAAGGAA